AAACACACACACUCGCAUAAAACAAAACAAAAAAUAACGAAACAAAAAAAAGACAAAUCAUCAUGAAGCUUUUCAAUUUAUUACUCCUUGCAGCUCUGUUCAUUGCCACUUUCGAUCUC
rnacentral:ribozyme from 14 species